AGUGAACGCUGGCGGUAGGCCUAACACAUGCAAGUCGAACGGCAGCACAGUAAGAGCUUGCUCUUACGGGUGGCGAGUGGCGGACGGGUGAGGAAUACAUCGGAAUCUACUUUUUCGUGGGGGAUAACGUAGGGAAACUUACGCUAAUACCGCAUACGACCUACGGGUGAAAGCAGGGGAUCUUCGGACCUUGCGCGAUUGAAUGAGCCGAUGUCGGAUUAGCUAGUUGGCGGGGUAAAGGCCCACCAAGGCGACGAUCCGUAGCUGGUCUGAGAGGAGGACCAGCCAGAAGGGGACUGAGAAACGGGCCCGACUCCUACGGGAGGCAGCAGUGGGGAAUUUUGGACAAUGGGCGAAAGCUGGAUCCAGCAAUGCCGCGUGGGUGAAGAAGGCCUUCGGGUGGUAAAGCACUUUGGUCCGGAAAGAAAUCUUUGGCUCUAAUACAGUCGGGGGAUGACGGUACCGGAAGAAUAAGCACCGGCUAACUACGUG
rnacentral:rRNA from 1 species